CGCGCCCCCGGCGUCACCGUGACGCCACAAGACGGGGGCGGGGCCUCGAGUCCCGCUCUGCCCAUUGGCCCGGGCUGUAACGUCCCAGCGCUGAGCGGGUAUACACGCGCGGGCUCGCAGCUGUCAGCAGCCGGAGCCCGAGUGAGCGCGGGCUAGAGACCUGCUGAGCAGCGGGACCUGGCGGCUGGCGUUCUGGUGUGGGGCCGAGAACAGACCCUUCUUCUGAAAAGCCACUGGCCCCUUGUUCUAUGAAAGCUAUACGACACAUGCGUGUAAAGACAUGGCAGCGGCAGUGUCCACAUUGGCAUCACAGGUCGAUUUCUCAUUGUCUUCACCAAUCUUCUGAACCCGUGAAUACUUUUUGCAUGAUGAUUUGAAGCAGCCAGGAGGCCAAGACAGCGGCCAGGAGAAGCAG